GUCCACGCCGUAAACGAUGAGUGCUAGUCGUCGCGGGUAUUGACCCCUGCGGCAACGAAGUUAACGCAUUAAGCACUCCGCCUGGGGAGUACGGCCGCAAGGCUAAAAACUCAAAGGAAUUGACGGGGGCCCGCACAAGCGGUGGAGCAUGUGGUUCAAUUCGACGCAACGCGCAGAACCUUACCUGGGUUAAAUCCACCGGAAUCCUGCAGAGAUGUGGGAGUGCCCGCAAGGGAGCCGGUGAGAAGGUGCUGCAUGGCUGUCGU
rnacentral:rRNA from 1 species